rnacentral:rRNA from 1 species
AUUGAACGCUGGCGGAAUGCUUUACACAUGCAAGUCGAACGGCAGCACGGACUUCGGUCUGGUGGCGAGUGGCGAACGGGUGAGUAAUGUAUCGGAACGUGCCCAGUCGUGGGGGAUAACGUAGUGAAAAUUACGCUAAAACCGCCUACGAUCUAUGGAUGAAAGCGGGGGAUCGCAAGACCUAGCGCGAUUGGAGCGGCCGAUAUCAGAUGAGGUAGUUGGUGGGGUAAAGGCCCACCAAGCCAACGAUCUGUAGCUGGUCUGAGAGGACGACCAGCCAAACUGGAACUGAGACACGGUCCAGACUCCUACGGGAGGCAGCAGUGGGGAAUUUUGGACAAUGGGCGAAAGCCUGAUCCAGCCAUUCCGCGUGCAGGAUGAAGGCCCUCGGGUUGUAAACUGCUUUUGUACAGAACGAAAAGGUUUCUACUAAUACUAGGAGCUCAUGACGGUACUGUAAGAAUAAGCACCGGCUAACUACGUGCCAGCCGCCGCAGUAA